rnacentral:rRNA from 1 species
GGGGGGGGGUGCAAGCGUUAUCGGGAAUUAUUGGGCGUAAAGGCGCGCAGGCGGGUCUCUUAAGUCAGAUGGUGAAAGCCCGGGGGCUCAAACCCCGGAAGUGCAUUUGAAACUAAGGGACUUGAGUAUGGGAGAGGGAAGUGGAAUUCCUGGUGUAGAGGUGAAAUUCGUAGAUAUCAGGAGGAACACCGGUGGCGAAGGCGACUUCCUGGACCAAUACUGACGCUGAGGCGCGAAGGCGUGGGGAGCAAACAGGAUUAGAUACCCUGGUAGUCCACGCAGUAAACGGUGAACACUAGGUGUAGCGGGUAUUUUACCCCUGCUGUGCCGCAGCUAACGCAUUAAGUGUUCCGCCCGGGGAGUACGGUCGCAAAGAUUAA